rnacentral:rRNA from 1 species
AUCGAACGCUGGCGGCAGGCCUAACACAUGCAAGUCGAGCGGAUGAAGGGAGCUUGCUCCUGGAGUCAGCGUCGGACGGGUGAGUAAUGCCUAGGAGUCUGCCUCGUAGUGGUUGAUAACGUCCGGAAACGGGCGCUGAUACCGCAUACGUCCUGAGGGAGAAAGUGGGGGGUGUUCGGACCUCACGCUAGGAGAUGAGCCUAGGUCGGAUUAGCUAGUUGGUGGGUUAGAGGCCUACCAAGGCGACGAUCCGUAACUGGUCUGAGAGGAUGAUCAGUCACACUGGAACUGCGACACGGACCAGACUACUACGGGAGGCAGCAGUGGGGCAUAUUGGACAAUGGGCGAAAGCCUGAUCCAGCCAUGCCGCGUGUGAAGAAGGUCUUCGGAUUGUAAAGCACUUUAAGUUGGGAGGAAGGGCAGUCAGUUAAUACCUUGCUGUUUUGACGUUACCAACAGAAUAAGCACCGGCUAACUUCGUG